ACUCAAAGGAAUUGACGGGGGGCCGCACAAGCGGUGGAGCGUGUGGUUUAAUUCGACGCUAAGCGAAGAACCUUAUCCAAGCCUUGACAUCCCGGUCGUAUCCCGUGGAAACACGGGAGUCAGUUUGCUGGACCGGUGACAGGUGCUGCAUGGUCGUCGUCAGCUCGUGUCGUGAGAUGUUGGGUUAAGUCCCGCAACGAGCGCAACCCUCGUCGUAUGUUGUAUUUUUCAUACGAGACUGCCCUGGUUAACAGGGAGGAAGGCGAGGAUGACGUCAGAUCCGCAUGGCCCUUAUGGCUUGGGCUACACACGCGCUACAAUGGCCGGCACAAUGGGCCGCGAACCCGCGAGGGGGAGCUAAUCCCAUCAAAGCCGGCCUCAGUUCGGAUUGGAGGCUGCAACUCGCCUCCAUGAAGUCGGAAUCGCUAGUAAUCGCGGAUCAGCACGCCGCGGUGAAUACGUUCUCGGCCCUUGUACACACCGCCCGU
rnacentral:rRNA from 1 species